rnacentral:rRNA from 1 species
CAUCCUCCAAGGCUAAAUACUCCUGAUUGACCGAUAGUGAACCAGUACUGUGAAGGAAAGGCGAAAAGAACCCCGGUGAGGGGAGUGAAAUAGAACCUGAAACCUUGUACGUACAAGCAGUGGGAGCCCCAUCACUUAAUCCGAUUGGAAGGUGAUGAAAAGCAACCGCACUUAAACAAUGGUAAGAGGAGCGAAGCGAGUCAAACCACCCAAAAGAAGCAGUGGGAUUAAGUGAUGGGGUGACUGCGUACCUUUUGUAUAAUGGGUCAGCGACUUAUAUUUUGUAGCGAGGUUAACCGAAUAGGGGAGCCGAAGGGAAACCGAGUCUUAACUGGGCGAAUAGUUGCAAGGUAUAGACCCGAAACC